AGUCCCAUAGCCUAGUUGGUCAAGCACAAGGUUGAAAACCUUGUGGUUGUGGGUUCGAGACCCACUGGUGGCUU
rnacentral:tRNA from 1 species